rnacentral:rRNA from 1 species
UACGGAGGGAGCUAGCGUUGUUCGGAAUUACUGGGCGUAAAGCGCGCGUAGGCGGCUUUGUAAGUUAGAGGUGAAAGCCCGGGGCUCAACUCCGGAACUGCCUUUAAGACUGCAUCGCUUGAAUCCGGGAGAGGUGAGUGGAAUUCCGAGUGUAGAGGUGAAAUUCGUAGAUAUUCGGAAGAACACCAGUGGCGAAGGCGGCUCACUGGACCGGUACUGACGCUGAUGCGCGAAAGCGUGGGGAGCAAACGGG